UACGUAGGGGGCAAGCGUUGUCCGGAAUCAUUGGGCGUAAAGAGCGUGUAGGCGGCCCGAUAAGUCCGCCGUGAAAGUCCAGGGCUCAACCCUGGAAUGCCGGUGGAAACUGUCGGGCUCGAGUCCGGAAGAGGCGACUGGAAUUCCUGGUGUAGCGGUGGAAUGCGCAGAUAUCAGGAGGAACACCGGUGGCGAAGGCGGGUCUCUGGGCCGUAACUGACGCUGAGGAGCGAAAGCAUGGGGAGCGAACAGG
rnacentral:rRNA from 1 species